CCUUCGAUAGCUCAGUUGCUAGAGUGGUGGACUGUAGAUCCAUAGGUCGCUGGUUCAAAUCCGGCUCGAAGGA